rnacentral:rRNA from 1 species
UACGUAGGGUCCGAGCGUUGUCCGGAAUUACUGGGCGUAAAGAGCUCGUAGGUGGUUUGUCGCGUUGUUCGUGAAAACUCACAGCUCAACUGUGGGCGUGCGGGCGAUACGGGCAGACUAGAGUACUGCAGGGGAGACUGGAAUUCCUGGUGUAGCGGUGGAAUGCGCAGAUAUCAGGAGGAACACCGGUGGCGAAGGCGGAUCUCUGGGCCUUACCUGACGCUGAGGCGCGAAAAGCUAGGGGGAGCGAACAGG